UACAGAGGUCUCAAGCGUUGUUCGGAUUCAUUGGGCGUAAAGGGUGCGUAGGCGGCGCGGUAAGUCGGGUGUGAAAUCUCGGAGCUUAACUCCGAAACUGCAUUCGAUACUGCCGUGCUUGAGGACUGGAGAGGAGACUGGAAUUUACGGUGUAGCGGUGAAAUGCGUAGAUAUCGUAAGGAAGACAGUGGCGAAGGCGGGUCUCUGGACAGUUCCUGACGCUGAGGCACGAAGGUCAGGGGAGCAAACGGG
rnacentral:rRNA from 1 species